UGGGGAAUAUUGCGCAAUGGGGGGAACCCUGACGCAGCAACGCCGCGUGCAGGAAGAAGGCCUUCGGGUUGUAAACUGUUGUCGCAAGGGAAGAAAAAAAUGACGGUACCUUGUGAGAAAGCCACGGCUAACUACGUGCCAGCAGCCGCGGUAAUACGUAGGUGGCAAGCGUUGUCCGGAUUUACUGGGUGUAAAGGGCGCGUAGACGGAGCAUCAAGUCAGUCGUGAAAUGCCGAGGCUCAACCUCGGAGCUGCGAUUGAAACUGAAGCCCUUGAGUAUCGGAGAGGAAAGCGGAAUUCCUAGUGUAGCGGUGAAAUGCGUAGAUAUUAGGAGGAACACCAGUGGCGAAGGCGGCUUUCUGGACGACAACUGACGUUGAGGCGCGAAAGUGUGGGGAGCAAACAGG
rnacentral:rRNA from 1 species